AGGUUUGUCCCACCCCCAGGCCACAAGUUGAAAAUACCUGGCUCUAAAUGAACCUUGUCUGCCUGGGAGCUGCUUGAGUUCAUGUUCCAGAACUCUCCCCUGGGUUCACUGCUCAGCUGGGAAGAGUCCAGUGAAAGUUCCUGACACACUUAAACCACGGAAGAAAAGAAAUGUGGCUCACUGGGUUGGAUCCAUUUGGUAACUGGAAAUCAAGGCUGCUGGAAGAAGUGCUCUCUGCCUCUCUAAAUACCUGAAGGAGUCUAGAAUGCAGCGACAAUAAAUGUUGAUUUAUUCA